AACGAACGCUGGCGGCAUGCCUAAUACAUGCAAGUCGAACGAUCUCUUCGGAGAUAGUGGCGCACGGGUGCGUAACGCGUGGGAAUCUGCCCUUGGGUUCGGAAUAACGUCGGGAAACUGACGCUAAUACCGGAUGAUGACGUAAGUCCAAAGAUUUAUCGCCCAGGGAUGAGCCCGCGUAGGAUUAGCUAGUUGGUUGGGUAAAGGCUGACCAAGGCGACGAUCCUUAGCUGGUCUGAGAGGAUGAUCAGCCACACUGGGACUGAGACACGGCCCAGACUCCUACGGGAGGCAGCAGUAGGGAAUAUUGGACAAUGGGGGCAACCCUGAUCCAGCAAUGCCGCGUGAGUGAUGAAGGCCUUAGGGUUGUAAAGCUCUUUUACCCGGGAUGAUAAUGACAGUACCGGGAGAAUAAGCCCCGACUAACUCCGUG
rnacentral:rRNA from 1 species